GGAGCCUCUGAUUCGACAGGUAGUCUCUGGGAUCGAGGACCACCUCCUGGACGCCGACGGCCACUUUGCCAGCUUCAAAUCCAAGUUUGGCAAGAAGUACGCCACUCAGGAGGAGCACGAUCACCGAUUCUCCGUCUUCAAGUCCAACCUCCUCCUCGCCAAGCGCCACCAGCUUAUGGAUCCCUCAGCCGUCCACGGCGUCACCAAGUUCAUGGACUUGACCCCCAAGGAGUUCCGCCGACAGUACCUCGGGAUGAGAAAGAAGCUCCAGGUCCCGGCCGACGCUAACAAGGCCCCAGUUCUCCCCACCAAAGAUC
rnacentral:lncRNA from 1 species